rnacentral:rRNA from 1 species
GACGAACGCUGGCGGCGUGCUUAACACAUGCAAGUCGAACGGAAAGGCCCUGCUUUUGUGGGGUGCUCGAGUGGCGAACGGGUGAGUAACACGUGAGUAACCUGCCCUUGACUUUGGGAUAACUUCAGGAAACUGGGGCUAAUACCGGAUAGGAGCUCCUGCUGCAUGGUGGGGGUUGGAAAGUUUCGGCGGUUGGGGAUGGACUCGCGGGUUAUCAGCUUGUUGGUGGGGUAGUGGCUUACCAAGGCUUUGACGGGUAGCCGGCCUGGGAGGGUGACCGGCCACAAUGGGACUGAGAUACGGCCCAGACUCCUACGGGAGGCAGAAGUGGGGAAUAUUGCACAAUGGGCGGAAGCCUGAUGCAGCAACGCCGCGUGCGGGAUGACGGCCUUCGGGUUGUAAACCGCUUUCGCCUGUGACGAAGCGUGAGUGACGGUAAUGGGUAAAGAAGCACCGGCUAACUACGUG